CCACCUGUAACCUGUUGAGCAGUCCUCUCUGCUUUUUAGCUGAGUGAAGAUGCUUCUCUGCUAGCUGCUACUCUCAAUCAUUUGAAGCAGUUCUUUUACUGAAAUCAAAGACUCUUAGUUUCUUGCCUACAGAGCUACUUAGAUUUGUUUUCUUGGCUAGGCUAUGAGGCACCAAUAACACUCUCAAGACUGUUCUCCCUUUCAAGUUCUAAUAAGGGAGAUGACAUGCAGUAUCUCGGUACAUUACAAGAUAUAUACAUAAUAUAUUAAGUGACUCAACUUUUUGAGUACCAUUUCUACCCUUUCCAUUAUGGUGAACCGCACUGUAAAAGGACACUGAGAGUGUGUGUGGCGUGUGCAUUGCCUGACAGGAUGUAGCAGAAGAUCGGAUGGAAUCUGCUUGAAAAAUGGUCACGGAUUGUUUAUUCAGAAACAAAACAAAACAAAAUAUCCUAGGACACACAGCCAGAAGAGACAUUUGAAAUCCUCUAGAUCAGAGGUGUUAAACAUUGAGCUGCAGCCUACAUGUAUCCUACAAGAUGUGUUACUUCUUCAGUGUGAGCAGCUCUCAGUGAGGAACUUCAUUCUACCAAUGGAGUAGACAUCAAUGCCUAGAGCUUGAAUGAGGGGCAGAGAACAAGAAAGAAGAUUUAGUCUCUUCGGUCUUUUUGGAGUUCUUCCAGCUUCCAGUAGACACGCAGGAUUCCAACCUCUCUUCAGUACCAUGAAGGGAUAAAGAUUCUGGGAAGAAACUGACAGGUAGAACUUUGAUCAUAUCUUUAUUCUCAGCUUGCAACACAAAAAACUAGGUGGGACUUUCUUUUGGAUGAAAUCUGGGAUUCUCUUGUGUGAGCUGAGUUAUCUUGCUCCCAAAGAAAGACUUGAUUUGAUUUAUAUUGAAUACAUAUUCCUUAUGUUUACUUUGUGAUUUCUGUUUUGAUCUCAACUUGGAUAAAUACAUUUAUCUGUUAUUUAUUCUGUGUGUUCAUCAUGGAACUGGUAUGUUUGGUAGCGACCAACAUAAAGCAUAUGGUGCCCUUUUUUUUUUUAUUAAGGAACAGCAAUCAGGAAUUAAGGUGGAACCUAAAAUUCC
rnacentral:lncRNA from 1 species